CUAGAUGAGGCAAGAGUGAG
rnacentral:miRNA from 1 species